rnacentral:rRNA from 1 species
ACGAACGCUGGCGGCGUGCUUAACACAUGCAAGUCGCACGGAAAGGCCCUGCUUUUGUGGGGUGCUCGAGUGGCGAACGGGUGAGUAACACAUGAGUAACCUGCCCUUGACUUUGGGAUAACUUCAGGAAACUGGGGCUAAUACCGGAUAGGAGCUCCUGCUGCAUGGUGGGGGUUGGAAAGUUUCGGCGGUUGGGGAUGGACUCGCGGCUUAUCAGCUUGUUGGUGGGGUAGUGGCUUACCAAGGCUUUGACGGGUAGCCGGCCUGAGAGGGUGACCGGCCACAUUGGGACUGAGAUACGGCCCAGACUCCUACGGGAGGCAGCAGUGGGGAAUAUUGCACAAUGGGCGGAAGCCUGAUGCAGCAACGCCGCGUGCGGGAUGACGGCCUUCGGGUUGUAAACCGCUUUCGCCUGUGACGAAGCGUGAGUGACGGUAAUGGGUAAAGAAGCACCGGCUAACUACGUG